GACGAACGCUGGCGGCGUGCCUAAUACAUGCAAGUAGAACGCUGAAGGAGGAGCUUGCUUCUCUGGAUGAGUUGCGAACGGGUGAGUAACGCGUAGGUAACCUGCCUGGUAGCGGGGGAUAACUAUUGGAAACGAUAGCUAAUACCGCAUAAGAGUAGAUGUCGCAUGACAUUUGCUUAAAAGGUGCAAUUGCAUCACUACCAGAUGGACCUGCGUUGUAUUAGCUAGUUGGUGAGGUAACGGCUCACCAAGGCAACGAUACAUAACCGACCUGAGAGGGUGAUCGGCCACACUGGGACUGAGACACGGCCCAGACUCCUACGGGAGGCAGCAGUAGGGAAUCUUCGGCAAUGGACGGAAGUCUGACCGAGCAACGCCGCGUGAGUGAAGAAGGGUUUCGGAUCGUAAAGCUCUGUUGUAAGAGAAGAACGAGUGUGAGAGUGGAAAGUUCACACUGUGACGGUAUCUUACCAGAAAGGGACGGCUAACUACGUG
rnacentral:rRNA from 1 species